UUUAGAGUUUGGAUCAUGGCUCAGGACGAACGCUGGCGGCGUGCCUAAUACAUGCAAGUCGAGCGGACAGAAGGGAGCUUGCUCCCGGAUGUUAGCGGCGGACGGGUGAGUAACACGUGGGUAACCUGCCUGUAAGACUGGGAUAACUCCGGGAAACCGGAGCUAAUACCGGAUAGUUCCUUGAACCGCAUGGUUCAAGGAUGAAAGACGGUUUCGGCUGUCACUUACAGAUGGACCCGCGGCGCAUUAGCUAGUUGGUGGGGUAAUGGCUCACCAAGGCGACGAUGCGUAGCCGACCUGAGAGGGUGAUCGGCCACACUGGGACUGAGACACGGCCCAGACUCCUACGGGAGGCAGCAGUAGGGAAUCUUCCGCAAUGGACGAAAGUCUGACGGAGCAACGCCGCGUGAGUGAUGAAGGUUUUCGGAUCGUAAAGCUCUGUUGUUAGGGAAGAACAAGUGCGAGAGUAACUGCUCGCACCUUGACGGUACCUAACCAGAAAGCCACGGCUAACUACGUGCCAGCAGCCGCGGUAAUACGUAGGUGGCAAGCGUUGUCCGGAAUUAUUGGGCGUAAAGGGCUCGCAGGCGGUUUCUUAAGUCUGAUGUGAAAGCCCCCGGCUCAACCGGGGAGGGUCAUUGGAAACUGGGAAACUUGAGUGCAGAAGAGGAGAGUGGAAUUCCACGUGUAGCGGUGAAAUGCGUAGAGAUGUGGAGGAACACCAGUGGCGAAGGCGACUCUCUGGUCUGUAACUGACGCUGAGGAGCGAAAGCGUGGGGAGCGAACAGGAUUAGAUACCCUGGUAGUCCACGCCGUAAACGAUGAGUGCUAAGUGUUAGGGGGUUUCCGCCCCUUAGUGCUGCAGCUAACGCAUUAAGCACUCCGCCUGGGGAGUACGGUCGCAAGACUGAAACUCAAAGGAAUUGACGGGGGCCCGCACAAGCGGUGGAGCAUGUGGUUUAAUUCGAAGCAACGCGAAGAACCUUACCAGGUCUUGACAUCCUCUGACAACCCUAGAGAUAGGGCUUUCCCUUCGGGGACAGAGUGACAGGUGGUGCAUGGUUGUCGUCAGCUCGUGUCGUGAGAUGUUGGGUUAAGUCCCGCAACGAGCGCAACCCUUGAUCUUAGUUGCCAGCAUUCAGUUGGGCACUCUAAGGUGACUGCCGGUGACAAACCGGAGGAAGGUGGGGAUGACGUCAAAUCAUCAUGCCCCUUAUGACCUGGGCUACACACGUGCUACAAUGGACAGAACAAAGGGCUGCAAGACCGCAAGGUUUAGCCAAUCCCAUAAAUCUGUUCUCAGUUCGGAUCGCAGUCUGCAACUCGACUGCGUGAAGCUGGAAUCGCUAGUAAUCGCGGAUCAGCAUGCCCGGUGGAAUACCGUUCCCGGGCCUUGUACACACCGCCCGUCACACCACGAGAGUUUGCAACACCCGAAGUCGGUGAGGUAACCUUUAUGGAGCCAGCCGCCGAAGGUGGGGCAGAUGAUUGGGGUGAAGUCUAA
rnacentral:rRNA from 1 species